UACAGAGGGGGCAAGCGUUAUUCGGAAUUAUUGGGCGUAAAGGGCGCGUAGGCGGCUUGGCAAGUGGAAGGUGAAAUCCCUCGGCUUAACCGAGGAACUGCCCUCCAAACUGCUUAGCUUGAGACCGGGAGAGGUGAGUGGAAUUCCCAGUGUAGCGGUGAAAUGCGUAGAUAUUGGGAGGAACACCAGUGGCGAAGGCGGCUCACUGGACCGGUACUGACGCUGAUGCGCGAAAGCGUGGGGAGCGAACAGG
rnacentral:rRNA from 1 species